ACUUAGUGGUCUAAAAAUAGUUUGGGGACAGCAAGAUUAGUCACCUUGCUACUGGAAUGGAGAAAGAAAAUAUUUAUUAUACUGAACACUUGUAUAAUGCUUUAUAGUUUUCAAUGUGUUUUAAACAUCUCAUUAGAUCCUUCAAUCUGUGAAGUGAAGGAGUAGAUAUUUCCACAAGGAAACUAAAGUCAGAAGAUUAGGUAACUUCCUUAAAUGCACUCUUCCAAAUUCUUUCAACUAGAAGAGUUACUUUAGCCCCAAAAGGGAUUUAUUUGUUCGUGUAACCUAUAAAGGGAGAAAAACCUGCCAGGAACCAGGGCCUCAGAGAUUGCAGCUUAAUUUCAAUAUUGAGUCCAAGGCUUUUGUUCCUUCAUCUUUAGAACCAGAAGAGGACAGCAAUUAAUUACUAUUCAUGGCUGAAUAACUGCUAACUAAGGUAGGCUUUUAUCACAAAAUGCUAU
rnacentral:lncRNA from 1 species